GCUCAGUUGGUUAAGCAUCUGACUCUUGGUUUCAGCUCAGGUCAUGAUCUCUUGUGGGUUCGAGUCCCACAUUGGGCU
rnacentral:tRNA from 1 species